GACGAACGCUGGCGGUGUGCUUAACACAUGCAAGUCGAACGGUAAGGCCCUUUCGGGGGUCCCCGAGUGGCGUACGGGUGAGUAACACGUGCGUAACCUCCCCUCAUCUCUGGGAUAACAGUCGGAAACGGUUGCUAAUACUGGAUAUGAGCUUGUAAGGCCUCUUGUGUGUUGGAAAGAUUUUUUUGGGUUGUGGAUGGACUCGCGGCCUAUCAGCUUGUUGGUGAGGUAGUGGCUCACCAAGGCUUCGACGGGUAGCCGGCCGGAGAGGGGGACCGGCGACAUUGGGACUGGGAUACGGCCCAAACUCCAACGGGAGGCGGCAGUGAGGAGUAUUGCACAUUGGACGGAAGUCUGAUGCAGCAUCGCCGCGUGCGGGAUGAGGGCCUACGGGUUGUAAACCGCUUUCAAUUGUGACGAGGCUUUUUAGUGACGGUAGCAGUAGAAGAAGCACCGGCUAACUCCGUG
rnacentral:rRNA from 1 species